rnacentral:lncRNA from 1 species
AACAUUGUAUUUCAUGCAUCAUUUGCAUAACAGGUUUCUUCCUCUAGAUGUCUUAUCAGUUCUUCUUCUGUGUAUCAGCAAAGCUGACUCAUCACUAUAAUACUCGAGCUAAUCGUCUGAGAAGAAUGGAGCACCUUGAAAAAGAGAACAGAGAUCUUAAGGAUGAUAUUUCCAGACUUAUAACCUUGAUGGAGUCUAUGAUUCCU